GGCGGACGGGUGAGUAAUGCCUAGGAAUCUGCCUGGUAGUGGGGGUCAACGUUUCGAAAGGAACGCUAAUACCGCAUACGUCCUACGGGAGAAAGAAGGGGACCUUCGGGCCUUGCGCUAUCAGAUGAGCCUAGGUCGGAUUAGCUAGUUGGUGAGGUAAUGGCUCACCAAGGCGACGAUCCGUAACUGGUCUGCGAGGAUGAUCAGUCACACUGGAACUGAGACACGGUACGACUCCUACGGGAGGCAGCAGUGGGGAAUAUUGGACAAUGGGCGAAAGCCUGAUCCAGCCAUGCCGCGUGUGUGAAGAAGGUCUUCGGAUUGUAAAGCACUUUAAGUAGGGAGGAAGGGCAGUAAGUUAAUACCUUGCUGUUUUGUCGUUACCGACAGAAUAAGCACCGGCUAACUCUGUGCCAGCAGCCGCGGAAUACAGAGGGGCAAGCGUUAAUCGGAAUUACUGGGCGUAAAGCGCGCGAAGGUGGUUCGUUAAGUUGGAUGUGAAAGCCCCGGGCUCAACCUGGGAACCGCAUCCAAAACUGGCGAGCUAGAGUAUGGUAGAGGGUGGUGGAAUUUCCUGUGUAGCGGUGAAAUGCGUAGAUAUAGGAAGGAACACCAGUGGCGAAGGCGACCAC
rnacentral:rRNA from 1 species